UUUUUUUCUUCUUUUCUUUUCUUU
rnacentral:sRNA from 1 species